rfam:Oryza glumipatula chromosome 11, whole genome shotgun sequence.
AAUAAGUGCAGUUUUCCAUUGUUCAUAUCCAACAUUUAACCGUUUGUUUUAUUUGAAAAAUUUUUAUAAUUAGUAUUUUUAUUUUUAUUAGAUGAUAAAAUAUGAGUAGUACUUUAUGUGUGACUAAUGUUUUUUAUUUUUUUUUUAUAAAUUUUUCUAAAUAAGACAGACGGUCAAACGUUAGACACAGGUACCCACGACUACACUUAUU